rnacentral:rRNA from 1 species
AACCCUUGUCCUUAGUUACCAGCACGUUAUGGUGGGCACUCUAAGGAGACUGCCGGUGCAAACCGGAGGAAGUGGGGAUGACGUCAAGUCAUCAUGGCCCUUACGGCCUGGGCUACACACGUGCUACAAUGGUCGGUACAAAGGGUUGCCAAGCCGCGAGGUGGAGCUAAUCCCAUAAAACCGAUCGUAGUCCGGAUCGCAGUCUGCAACUCGACUGCGUGAAGUCGGAAUCGCUAGUAAUCGUGAAUCAGAAUGUCACGGUGAAUACGUUCCCGGGCCUU